rnacentral:rRNA from 1 species
CCUACGGGUGGCUGCAGUGGGGAAUAUUGGACAAUGGGCGAAAGCCUGAUCCAGCCAUGCCGCGUGUGUGAAGAAGGCCUUCGGGUUGUAAAGCACUUUCAGUGGGGAAGAAAGCCUUGGGGCUAAUACCCUCGAGGAAGGACAUCACCCACAGAAGAAGCACCGGCUAACUCCGUGCCAGCAGCCGCGGUAAUACGGAGGGUGCGAGCGUUAAUCGGAAUUACUGGGCGUAAAGCGCGCGUAGGCGGUCUGAUAAGCCGGUUGUGAAAGCCCCGGGCUCAACCUGGGAACGGCAUCCGGAACUGUCAGGCUAGAGUGCAGGAGAGGAAGGUAGAAUUCCCGGUGUAGCGGUGAAAUGCGUAGAGAUCGGGAGGAAUACCAGUGGCGAAGGCGGCCUUCUGGACUGACACUGACGCUGAGGUGCGAAAGCGUGGGUAGCAAACAGGAUUAGAUACCCGUGUGUC